ACUAUGUUCAAUAUACAAACUAUAUUUUAGUUUAUCAAAAUAUAUUUUUAUUGAUGUGUUCUGUCUCUGAUUCUUUCUUUUUCAGAUGUGCACUUGCGUCUUAGGCUUAUGCUUUGCAAAAGGUUCACCAUCGCCCUUAAGUUGCUGUGGGUUUUACGGUUUUACUUCCAACCUGGCAUAUAAUAUCUGAAGUUAUUUGUCAAUAACUGGUGAUCAGACUUUCAAACGAACAUGUUUUUAAGGGCUGAGAAGGUUAGUUUAUUAUCUUUGUUGUAAUAGCUCUAAACUUGACUGUUUCAAUAUUUUCAUUAUAUAUCAUUGCCUGUUUUUAGGUGAAAGUUAGAAGUCUGCAGACUGUAACGUAAACCAAUUUUCAACACAUGGUUUUCUGAAUAUAUUUAGUUUUCGAUUGAAAUGAGAAUAAACUGAACUUAUAGAUAUGUUGAAAAUUAACUAUUUUAUAUUUUAAACGUUCGCUAAACGCAAGUGAAGCAAUAAUCUAUACAUGGAAAUAUACUUUAUAUUUCGUUUUAGUUUAAAAAAAAAAUAUUGUUACUUUUAUAUUCAUGUUGUAAUUGUAAAUUGCAAUCUUAAAAUGAUUUUCAUUAUAA